rnacentral:rRNA from 1 species
GACCCUACGGGGGGCAGCAGUGAGGAAUAUUGGUCAAUGGCCGGAAGGCUGAACCAGCCAAGUCGCGUGAGGGACGACUGCCCUAUGGGUUGUAAACCUCUUUUAUAAGGGAAGAAUAAAUGCUACGUGUAGCAUGAUGCCUGUACCUUAUGAAUAAGCAUCGGCUAACUCCGUGCCAGCAGCCGCGGUAAUACGGAGGAUGCGAGCGUUAUCCGGAUUUAUUGGGUUUAAAGGGUGCGUAGGCCGAAGAUUAAGUCAGUGGUAAAAUUGCGAGGCUCAACCUCGUAUCGCCAUUGAAACUGGUU